rnacentral:rRNA from 1 species
GUAGGGAAUAUUGCACAAUGGGCGAAAGCCUGAUGCAGCAAUGCCGCGUGAGUGAUGAAGGCCUUUGGGUCGUAAAGCUCUGUCGUAAGGGAAAAACCUUUAAUUGCUAAUAUCAAUUAAAGUUGAUGGUACCUUACAAGAAAGCACCGGCUAACUACGUGCCAGCAGCCGCGGUAAUACGUAGGGUGCAAGCGUUGUUCGGAAUUACUGGGCGUAAAGCGCGUGUAGGCGGCUAUAUAAGUCAGAUGUGAAAUCCUGGGGCUUAACCCCAGACGUGCAUCUGAAACUAUAUAGCUUGAAUGUGGAAGAGGGUAGCGGAAUUCCUGGUGUAGUGGUGAAAUACGUAGAUAUCAGGAGGAACAUCGGUGGCGAAGGCGGCUACCUGGUCCAACAUUGACGCUGAGACGCGAAAGCAUGGGUAGCAAACAGGAUUAGAUACCCUUGUAGUCC